UAGGGAAUCUUCGGCAAUGGGGGCAACCCUGACCGAGCAACGCCGCGUGAGUGAAGAAGGUUUUCGGAUCGUAAAGCUCUGUUGUAAGCCAAGAACGAGUGUGAGAGUGGAAAGUUCACACUGUGACGGUAGCUUACCAGAAAGGGACGGCUAACUACGUGCCAGCAGCCGCGGUAAUACGUAGGUCCCGAGCGUUGUCCGGAUUUAUUGGGCGUAAAGCGAGCGCAGGCGGUUUGAUAAGUCUGAAGUUAAAGGCUGUGGCUCAACCAUAGUUCGCUUUGGAAACUGUCAAACUUGAGUGCAGAAGGGGAGAGUGGAAUUCCAUGUGUAGCGGUGAAAUGCGUAGAUAUAUGGAGGAACACCGGUGGCGAAAGCGGCUCUCUGGUCUGUAACUGACGCUGAGGCUCGAAAGCGUGGGGAGCGAACAGGAUUAGAUACCCUGGUAGUCCACGCCGUAAACGAUGAGUGCUAGGUGUUGGAUCCUUUCCGGGAUUCAGUGCCGCAGCUAACGCAUUAAGCACUCCGCCUGGGGAGUACGACCGCAAGGUUG
rnacentral:rRNA from 1 species